rnacentral:rRNA from 1 species
AUUGAACGCUGGCGGCAGGCCUAACACAUGCAAGUCGAACGAGUGGCGGACGGGUGAGUAAUGUCUGGGAAACUGCCUGAUGGAGGGGGAUAACUACUGGAAACGGUAGCUAAUACCGCAUACCAUCGGAUGUGCCCAGAUGGGAUUAGCUAGUAGGUGGGGUAACGGCUCACCUAGGCGACGAUCCCGAGCUGGUAUGAGAGGAUGACCAGCCACCCUGGAACUGAGACACGGUCCAGACGCCUACGGGAGGCAGCAGUGGGGAAUAUUGCACAAUGGGCGAAAGCCUGAUGCAGCCAUCCCGCGGGUAUGAAGAAGGCCUUCGGGUUGUAAAGUACUUUUGGCGGGGAAGCGUUACCCGCAGAAUAAGCACCGGCUAACUCCGUGCCAGCAGCCGCGGUAAUUC